CAAAUGAAUUGACGGGGCCCGCACAAGCGGAGGAACAUGUGGUUUAAUUCGAUGAUACGCGAGGAACCUUACCUGGGCUUAAAUGUAGAGUGCAUUUUUUAGAGAUAGAAAUUCCCUUCGGGGCUUUUCUGCAAGGUGCUGCAUGGUUGUCGUCAGCUCGUGCCGUGAGGUGUCGGGUUAAGUCCCAUAACGAGCGCAACCCUUAUCGUUAGUUGCCAUCUGGUAAUGCAGGGGACUCUAGCGAAACUGCCACCGUAAGGUGAGAGGAAGGUGGGGAUGACGUCAAAUCAGCACGGCCCUUAUGUCCAGGGCUACACACGUGUUACAAUGGUCGGUACAGAGGGCAGCUACCUGGUGACAGGAUGCUAAUCUCGAAAACCGGUCUCAGUUCGGAUCGAAGUCUGCAACUCGACUUCGUGAAGUCGGAAUCGCUAGUAAUCGCGGAUCAGCAUGCCGCGGUGAAUACGUUCCCGGGUCUU
rnacentral:rRNA from 1 species